UCAAUUCAAAACCAUCUUCUCACUCAUCACGAAUCAAUCCUGACUUCUGAAAAUUGAAUCACAAUAAACUAUAAUGAGUACAAAACCCAGUAAGCAAACUAGUUUUUCUUAUACGGAAAAUACAUACAGACUUAUACAUAAUGCAAUGGUUGAUAUGUCAUGAUCUUUUGGAAAUACUGUAAAAUAAAUUCAUAAAAAUCUCUUUCUGUCGCUUUCAAACUUUCUUAUUUUCUUUCGAUGAAAUACGUAUCCUACAAUGUGGCACUUUGUGCUGUACGUGGCACUUUGCGGCGCCCUGGCCCUCAAGAGGUGGCCCCCGCAUAGUCCCAAGAGGUGACCCCCACACAACUUCAAGAGGUGGCCCCCAAUGCAAAAUCUCAUAAAACAUAAAUUCUGUUUGCUAAAAUCCACUUUCUCAUUCGUAGAAAACUCAAUGCAUUUUCGUGCUCAUGCCAAUGAACCAUCACACAUACAUAUGCCCAUGUACAUAAUCACGCUCAACACAUGCCAACACAUCACAUAAACACAUGGGCAAAGACAUCUAAAUCCAUAUCCGUAUAUAUAUCAAAAUAUGCUUUUCACACAAGUCAAACAUAUAUAUUGUUUAGUGUGAUUCGUUUUAAAGUCUAGUUUACUUACCUCUUGGCAUCCUCAUGUAACAAAUGCGUACUGAUACCAUUAACCUAAAAUCAUCAAUAACGCCUCAUAAGAUAUAAUCAAAUCUCAAUCACAAACUGUAAUGUCCUCAAAUAUCUCAAUUUAAACAACUCCUAAGCUCAACCUCAAAUGUCCUCAAUAAUCGGCCCUCAAAACAUAAAUCCUUUACAAAUACUCUUUAUCAGUUGUAAAGAGUUAUUUAAAUUAUAUGUGAGUUGUAGACAUAUUUGCCCUUGGAUUUCAGACUGGGGUGUUUCAAAUGGUAUCAGACCGAUUCCCAUCCGAUAAAAUUGGAACGAUACAGAGAAGAUUAGCAUAAUUCGUAACAUAAUUCCUUCAAAAACUAUUGAAAAUAAUUCACGUUUCAGACAUCAUCAAUACUGUCAAACAGUUUUCUGUUUUGAACACACUUGCUUUACAAAUACAAAACAAUUUAUUGCUUUAUCAUAAAAUCAUGAAAAUUUCCAGAAUCAUACUAGACAUAUAUAAAAAGCAUUGGUCCAAAUUUCAUAAUUUUUGAAGAAGUCUAACUAUGGUAAAAAUAAUUUCGUAAUUCACGUUAUUCACUGAAAUCAUAAAUUUCCAGGUUUUCAGACUUGAAUUUGAAAAAUCAUAAUUAAUUGAAAUCUUAUCCGAUUAACUUGAAACAAGUUUCAAAACAUUCUAGACGAUGUCUAGUUUAACAUACCCAAAAAUCAGAAUCAAAAUCAAUUUGUACAAAUUACUAUGAUUUCUGUAAUAAUUCGCUGUCAGCAUAUUUAUGUAAAAUCUUUGAUUUCUACUUCUAUUACAAUCAUGCUUCUCCACAACAAUUUAAUAGAAACCAAUAAUUAAAACGUACCUCCAAAACUUCUCCCAACAAUAACAACUUGAUCCCAUGUGUUGUCUAUGGCAAAAACUAAGAAGAAGAAGAAGACUUUCUUCUUCUCUUUUUUUCUUUUCUUUUCUCUCUUGUCUCUCCAUCUCUCUUUUUCAACCGAUCUCUCUUUUU
rnacentral:lncRNA from 1 species